CCGUACAAAAUCUGAGUUCCAUUUGUUUCUUAGGAACUUAGGGCUGCCUGCAUACACGUCAGAAGCAUUUCAUCACCAAGGAUACUCUAAACUAAAUAGACUUCAAAUAGCAUUUCAAGUGGCUCAGAAUACCACAGGACAUUUUUAGUAGCAGCAAUGCUUCACUGAGCGGUGGUUUUUUGUAGGGAAAUCUUCUAAGGCCUCAAAAGGGGGAAUUCUGUUGAUGACUGGCGUGUGUUGCUCGGGACAAGCGAGCCAGACAAAGAGGGGGAGAUUUGAAGAGUCAGCAAGUAUGUCAUGGAAAAUAGACUUUGAACACCAAGGUGAAGGGGGUGAGGUCUUCUUUCUGAGAAUUUCAUACCUGUACUUAAUGAAAUACAAUCUUAUCUACCCCGAUUUUCCCACUGUAUUGUCUCCUAUAUUCCCCCAUAACUCCCUGUGCAUGCGUGUGGUUGAGGCAACCCACUGCAGCUUGGUGAAGCUACCGGCGUCCAUGUCCCCAGUUAAGAACCAUUCUCCCUACCCCUUGCCUGUGCCUGCCACCAACAGCAACUCAGUAUAGGGAGGGGCCCGGGGGCCAUCUACAUCGCCUCUGCCUGGCUUCUGGCUGGGCUUGAUCUCAGAGAACACGCUGCUGUGAAAUCAUGAUGGCGGCAGACACCCCGUGUCCAGAAGACCGAGCUUCCCAGCGCCUUCCCCACUUCCCUCAGGGCUGUGCCCCGAGCCUCGGUGGUGUGGGGUUGGGGGUUAAAUAUAGAUGUCCUAUUUAGCGCUGAGACUUCAGUCUUAUUCUAGCUCGCUGAUCAGCCAUGCAUCUCUUCCACUGACAGCUGUCCACUGGAAAAAAAAAUGAAGCUUCCCUGACCAAGGUUGAUACCACCUAGGCCCUCCGGUGCCAUUUUUGGUUCAAAUUAGUCUUGACAUCUCUUCUUGGGAGCUGACAACCCCCAGCAGUCAGCAGGUCGGCAUUGUGGGGGUUCUGGCCUUGUACCAUGCUUUCUAAAAUCUACUUACUUACCCUUUUUAUAAUUUUAAAUUUGUAUUAGUUUGUUGAGAAUGUGUUAGUUUUUGCAGUGGACAGUUGGGAGCCAGCUUAGGAUGCUUCUCCACACCUCUAAUGUCGUUUCCCACAAAGAAAAACAUUUUCUUUAGGAAAGGAGCAGCCUUGAAAUGAGACUAGAGACACCUGAAUGUAAGCAGGGGACAUCAGAGCAAGUGGUCGGGUCCAGGCCAGGUGCCCGCACCUCCUGAUUCUUUGUCUCCUCUGGGCGCUAUUUCGUGAACAUCAGACUAGCACAGGCUGCUAGAAAUAUAAACCCAAGCACACAUUCUCCACUCGCUGCGACAGAGCUUCGUUAACCAUGGAAACAACACAGGGAAGAUGACUCCCUGCAGCCCCCUUUUCGCUAUAACCCGCCUCCAGAUAAAAUCCAUCCACAUUUGGCGCCAGCACGGUCAAAUAUUGCUCUCAGAGAUGGAGAGGACAGGGCUGCAUUUCUAAGAGUCGUUCUCAGACUGGACCCAUGGUAGAAGAAGAUGAAAGAACGGUGAAGACAAAGGAAUUUGAUGAAAACGGGGAUGAAUCUCACACUCAAUCCUGUACUGAGUCAGAGACCAUUGUGCCUCACAGAAAAGGAAAGAAAAACAUUUUCUUUCUGUGCUGCAAAUAGGAAAGGGCACCGCAUAUUUUCUUCCCGUAAAACAAAGAGUUCCAUAAAACGAGCGGUCAAUUCCCUUGCAAAGCCCACAGGCCUGUUUCAGAUUUAAGAGGAAACGAGCACCGUAGCUACUCCCGGGCCACUGUGGCAGGGUUCUACUGACACAGAAUGGAAACAGAGACAUUAAAGUGACAGCUAGCCUGCACAGGGGGGGACAGCCCAGAAAUUGUGUAGAUGGGGGUAGGGAGCUAAAGGAGGUGACACAUAAAAAGCUGUGUCUGUGUCACACACACACACACAUACACACACACACACGCACGCACACACACACACGCACGCACACACACACGC